rnacentral:rRNA from 1 species
UGGGUACUCGACCUUCUCUGCAGCGCUGAGUGAUCUCUGUCUUAUGGCAUGGGGCCGCUCGCGCCUACGGGGCCGGCCAGAGGAUACCAAACUCCAGUCAGUAAACGUAUGCUGUCUGAUCAAAAGUUUAAUAAACUAAAACUUUCAACAACGGAUCUCUUGGUUCUGGCAUCGAUGAAGAACGCAGCGAAAUGCGAUAAGUAAUGUGAAUUGCAGAAUUCAGUGAAUCAUCGAAUCUUUGAACGCACAUUGCGCCCCUUGGUAUUCCGAGGGGCAUGCCUGUUCGAGCGUCAUUUCACCACUCAAGCUCUGCUUGGUAUUGGGCGCCGUCCUUCACCGGACGCGCCUCAAAGACCUCGGCGGUGGCGUCUUGCCUCAAGCGUAGUAGAAAACACCUCGCUUUGGAGGACGGGACGUUCGCUCGCCGGACGAACCUUCUGAAUUUUCUCAAGGUUGACCUCGGAUCAGGUAGGGAUCCA